rnacentral:rRNA from 1 species
GUGAACGCUGGCGGUAGGCCUAACACAUGCAAGUCGAACGGCAGCACAGUAAGAGCUUGCUCUUACGGGUGGCGAGUGGCGGACGGGUGAGGAAUACAUCGGAAUCUACUUUUUCGUGGGGGCUAACGUAGGGAAACUUACGCUCAUACCGCAUACGACCUACGGGUGAAAGCAGUGGAUCUUCGGACCUUGCGCGAAUGAAUGAGCCGAUGUCGGAUUAGCUAGUUGGCGGGGUAAAGGCCCACCAAGGCGACGAUCCGUAGCUGGUCUGAGAGGAUGAUCAGCCACACUGGAACUGAGACACGGUCCAGACUCCUACGGGAGGCAGCAGUGGGGAAUAUUGGACAAUGGGCGCAAGCCUGAUCCAGCCAUACCGCGUGGGUGAAGAAGGCCUUCGGGUUGUAAAGCCCUUUUGUUGGGAAAGAAAAGCAGCAGGUUAAUACCCCGCUGUUCUGACGGUACCCAAAGAAUAAGCACCGGCUAACUUCGUG